rnacentral:rRNA from 1 species
UACGUAGGGUGCAAGCGUUGUCCGGAAUUAUUGGGCGUAAAGAGCUCGUAGGCGGUUUGUCGCGUCGAAUGUGAAAACCCCGGGGCUCAACCCCGGGCCUGCAUUCGAUACGGGCAGACUAGAGUUCGGUAGGGGAGUCUGGAAUUCCUGGUGUAGCGGUGAAAUGCGCAGAUAUCAGGAGGAACACCGGUGGCGAAGGCGGUUCUCUGGGACGGUACUGACGCUGAGACGCGAAAAGCGUGGGGGAGCGAACAGG